rnacentral:rRNA from 1 species
CAAUAGCGUAUAUUAAAGUUGUUGCGGUAAAGAAGCUCGUAGUUGGAUUUCUGUUGAGAGCGACCGGUCCAUACCAUGUAUGCGUAUCUGGCUUGCUCUCGGCAUCCUCUCGAUAGACGUUACUGCGCUUGAUUGCGUGGUGCGGAUCUCGGGACUUUUACUUUGAGGAAAUUAGAGUGUUCACGGCAGGCUUUCGCCAGAAUACAUUAGCAUGGAAUAAUACUAUAGGAUCUUGGUUCUAUUUUGUUGGUUUCUAGAAUUGAGAUAAUGAUUAAUAGGGACAAUUGGGGGCAUUCGUAUCAACACGUCAGAGGUGGAAUUCUUGGAUUGUGUUGCGACGAACUACUGCGAAAGCAUUUGCCAAGGAUGUUUUCAUUGA